CAGCCGCCGCGGUAAUACGUAGGGUGCGAGCGUUAAUCGGAAUUACUGGGCGUAAAGCGUGCGCAGGCGGCUUUGCAAGACAGAUGUGAAAUCCCCGGGCUCAACCUGGGAACUGCAUUUGUGACUGCAAGGCUAGAGUACGGUAGAGGGGGAUGGAAUUCCGCGUGUAGCAGUGAAAUGCGUAGAUAUGCGGAGGAACACCAAUGGCGAAGGCAAUCCCCUGGACCUGUACUGACGCUCAUGCACGAAAGCGUGGGGAGCAAACAGGAUUAGAUACCCCCGUAGUCCCUGUCUCUUAUAC
rnacentral:rRNA from 1 species